rnacentral:rRNA from 1 species
UUGACUCGUUUUUAUAGUUUACAUACCUUUGUACUGCCUCUGCUUACUGUCGUAUUUAUGUUAAUACACUUUCCAAUGAUACGUAAGCAAGGUAUUUCAGGUGCUUUAUAG